UUAAAUGCUUAACUUAUAAAGUGGUUUUUCUUACAGCAAUCACAACGUACAGGAGGUGCUCAGACUUACAAGCAUUGAGGAUAGGAGAGGGGUUUGUGAAUGUUCAGAAGAAAGGACUUGUUUUCUUGAGACCAGGUUUAUCAAAACAAGAUAGACCAAAUCAUUAUGGAACUAAAAUUUUUGUGCCUUACUUUGAACACAAUAAAAAAUUGGAUCCUAAAAGAGCCAUUGCGAUUUAUUUGAAACGUACAGAAGAAACAAGGAAAGAUGAAGGAAAACUUUUCUUGUCAACGGUUAAACCAUUCAAACCGGUUACAUCACAAACAAUUUCUAGAUGGUUAGUGAAUACCAUCAAAAUGGCAUAUGAAAAUACAGAUUUUAAAGUUAAAGCUCACAGUACGAGAGCAAUUGGACCUUCAUGGGCCUUAUUUAAUGGGGCUAGUAUGAAGAGUAUUUUAGAGUCCGCUGACUGGUCUACUGAUACAACUUUCAUCAAGUUUUAU
rnacentral:lncRNA from 1 species